CACGAAGGGGGCUAGCGUUGCUCGGAAUUACUGGGCGUAAAGCGCACGUAGGCGGCUUUCUAAGUCAGGGGUGAAAUCCUGGAGCUCAACUCCAGAACUGCCUUUGAUACUGGGAAGCUCGAGUCCGGAAGAGGUGAGUGGAACUCCGAGUGUAGAGGUGAAAUUCGUAGAUAUUCGGAAGAACACCAGUGGCGAAGGCGGCUCACUGGUCCGGUACUGACGCUGAGGUGCGAAAGCGUGGGGAGCAAACAGG
rnacentral:rRNA from 1 species